rnacentral:pre_miRNA from 1 species
UUUCAGCAAAUAUCUCCAAGCUUGUUGCAUUUCGUCUUAUUUGAACUUUUUUAUGGUUAGCAUUUUGGUUGUUAUUAGAUAAUAAAACAUGAACAAUACUUUAUGCAUGACUACUUUUUAAAUAUUUUUUAAAAAAAUUAAAUAAGACGAACGAUCAAAGUUGAACAUGAAAACUCAUGACUGCGUUUAAA